rnacentral:rRNA from 1 species
UUGGCUCUGGCAUCGAUGAAGAACGCAGCGAAAUGCGAUACGUAAUGUGAAUUGCAGAAUUCAGCGAACCAUCGAAUCUUUGAACGCACAUUGCGCCCGCCAGCAUUCUGGCGGGCAUGCCUGUCCGAGCGUCAUU